UACGUAGGGGGCAAGCGUUGUUCGGAAUUACUGGGCGUAAAGCGCGUGUAGGUGGCGAUGUAAGUCGGGUGUGAAAUCCCUUGGCUCAACCAAGGAAGUGCACUCGAUACUGUGUCGCUUGAGUACUGGAGGGGAUGGCGGAAUUCCCGGUGUAGAGGUGAAAUUCGUAGAUAUCGGGAGGAACACCUGUGGCGAAGGCGGCCAUCUGGACAGUCACUGACACUGAGACGCGAAAGCGUGGGUAGCAAACAGG
rnacentral:rRNA from 1 species